rnacentral:rRNA from 1 species
UACGUAGGGUGCGAGCGUUGUCCGGAAUUAUUGGGCGUAAAGAGCUUGUAGGCGGUCUGUCGCGUCUGCUGUGAAAAUCCGGGGCUCAACCCCGGACUUGCAGUGGGUACGGGCAGACUAGAGUGUGGUAGGGGAGACUGGAAUUCCUGGUGUAGCGGUGAAAUGACGCAGAUAUCGAGGAGGAACACCCGGUGGGCGAAGGCGGCGACCUUGGGUCGACACUGACG